rnacentral:rRNA from 1 species
GAUCCUGGCUCAGAUUGAACGCUGGUGGCAGGCUUAACACAUGCAGGUCGAACGGUAACAUAAAGAAGCUUGCUUCUUUGAUGACGAGUGGCGGACGGGUGAGUAAUGCUUGGGAAUCUAGCUUAUGGAGGGGGAUAACUACGGGAAACUGUAGCUAAUACCGCGUAAUAUCGAAAGAUUAAAGUGUGGGACCUUCGGGCCACAUGCCAUAGGAUGAGCCCAAGUGGGAUUAGGUAGUUGGUGAGGUAAAGG